AGUCGUAGUUGCUGAGAAAGAAUCUCAAUUCAGCCAAGUCAAAAGAUCAAGGCAAAAAAACAAAUAAUGGUGUUGUCUUCUGCUGAUGUGAUCCUGUUGCUUUCCUGUGUGUGAUUUUAAACUGUUAAUGAACAAAUUAAGUUUAAAAAAUUAACUUGAAAUGUAAAAUUGCAGCAUAUCAUUGAAUAAAGAAACCAUCAAACUUAUAUUAUACCAAAAUAAGAAUUCUAAUUUUUUCCAUGCUGUAAACCUUUUAUAUCUUAAUACCAAAUUAAAUUUUAAAACAUUCUUAACACUGUUAAAACCUGGCAUGGGGGCAGAACCAAGAGGAGGCAGGAACUCAUUCUACAGAAGCAGAACCAAGCAAAAGGUUGGGACUGAGACUACUGAGCAAGUCCAUCUCAUUGGGCUGUAUACCUGAUCAGAGAAAGAACACAGGGAAUCCUUUGGUGGCUUUGGAUUCAGGACUCUUGCAUUGGCCAGAAGCAGUUUCAGGAGCAAAGAGCACUAGUACUUGUGGUGGCAAGGGAGCAGGGACUCUGGUCACAGUUCCAAGAUGGGGAACAGUGCUAAUGGUUGCUCACAAGGGAAUAAGGAUCCCGGUCUGUUUCAAGGGUGAAAGGAGCACUAGUGCUCGAGGCUAUAGGGGACUAGGGGAACUGGUUGCUUUUUCAGGGUCAAGAGGAACAUUCUCACCUGCUACUGAAAAACAAGGACCCCUUCUGAGUAAAGACCAGGCUAGGGGGACAGUGACUAUAUCUCACUUUAAUUAAUACCACCUUGGGAGCAUCGAAAACUUUUACAGACCCCAGACCUAGCUCUGAAAACAGCAGUAUGCUUGGGACAGUGCCUUAUGCACAUGAGGAGCAGAAUCCUACUUUAAUGAAAAAGUAAGUCAAGAAAUAAGCUGUAAAAAUGAGCAAAUAACAAAAAAGAAACCUGGCCAUAAAAAAAUUAUGAUGGUAAUAGGUAAGGUAAGCUCAAGUUACUAACUUAAUGGAUAAACCAAGACCCAAAAGAAAAAGGCAAACAAAUGUGAACUGACACAAUGCCAAUAAGAAUUCCUGGAAGAAUUUUAAAAAGCAAAUAAGAGGUAAAGGAAAAAUCAAAAAAAUAAAUAUUGAUGCUAUAAAAUUAUGAAAAAAGAAUCAACAAUUUGGUAAAAGGAUAAAAUACUGAAGCAAAUAACAUCUUAAAAAAAAAAAAGAGAGAUAAAUGGAAAAAAGAGGUACAAAAAUUCACCAAAAAAAAGAAAUCCUUAAAAAUUAGAAUAAGGUAACUGGAAGCUAAUGCUAAUGACUCCAUGAGAUGUCAAGAAACAAAAUAAAAAAUUAAAUUAAAUUAAAAAAAGAAAUAGAAGCAAAUGUGAAAUAUCUCAGUGAAAAAAUAACCUGGAAAAUAGAACUAGAACAGAUCAUUUAAGAAUUAUCAGACUAUUUGAAAACCAUAAUCAAAAAACAAGGUUAAAAAAAAAAGAAGCUUAAACAUCAAAUUUACUGCCCCAAAUAUUCUAGAACUGGAGGGUAAAAUAGAAAUGGAAAGAAUCUACCAAUCGCCUUCUGAAAGAAAUAACAAAUUGAUAAACUCCCAAGAAUAUUAGCCAAGUUCUAGAACUCUUGGGUUAAAGAGAAAAUAUUGCAAGCAUCUGGAAAGAAAUAAUUUAAAUGUCUAAGAGCUUUAGUCAGGAUCACACAAGAUUUAGAACUUCCACUUUAAAGAAUCUGAGGACGUGGGAGUGAUAUUCCUCAAGGAAAAAGAGCUAGGAUUACAAUCAAGAAUAACCUAUUGUGAAAAACUGAGUAUAACCUUUUAAGAGAAAAAUUAGGUAUUUAAUGAAACAGGACUUUCAAGCAUUUCUAAUGGAAAGAUCAGAGAAUAGAAAAUCAAUAAAUAGGAAAAGAAAAACAUAAGAGAUCUAAUAAAGUUAAACUUUAUAUUCCUAAAUGAGUUGAUACUUGUAACUGCUAAGAACUUUAUUAUUAAGAAGGUAAUUAGAAGGAGUGUACGAAAGGCAAAAGAUGCGAGUUAAUUUUAAUGGGAUGAUUUUUUAAAAAAUAAGUUUAAGCUCAGGAACAGUCAUAGGAGAAAGGUCAGACAGGACAAAUUAGGGAACUUGGUCUCUGACUUUUAUUACAAUUUUUUCAGGUCUACCAAAUGCUCAAUUAAACUGAGCUUUACAGGAACAUGGUAAUAAGAGACAUAUCUUCUUUGGGAUAUUAAAGAGUUAAGAGUGAUUUACAUGGAAUUUUGUCUAUAGGCUAUUGACUCACAACAUUACUAUAUUCAGGACUGCGGAGAUGGUUGGCUAUUUCGUUCCCCUCACCAAAAAAAAAAAAAAGUUUUGUUUUGUUUUUUUGUUCUUUAAGGACACAGAGGACCUAGAUUACUAUGAAUUGAAAGAAGAACCAGUGAAGAAAUCUGAGGAAUUAUAUCAUACCAAAGAGAUAUGAUAUUAAUAUUAGGACCUGGCAUAAUUUGUGCUUGGACUGACCCUCAAAAUUAUCUUGAAAAAAUAUCCUAUUCAUCUAUCCAGUUCAAGGAAUAUAAAAUGAAAAGCAAGAUGAUCAGCUUAAUCAGUGUCAUUACAAUACUUCACCACAACAAAAAACUUGAUUGAUGAUUAGGUAGGGACAAGGGCCUGAUCCUAGAAAUUUCCUUCCUUUUUAAAUAAUAAAAAUAUCUGCAUUCCUAGCAGCAAAUGCUAAAUGUUAAGUGUAUAAUAACAGAAUUCAGUACUAUAUAACUGAAUAAAUGUUGUUUUGAUACAGACUUCAUAAUACACAUUACCAUAGGAAGUCACUAAAUUAAAUACAUACAAACUGAUUUUAAAGAGCCUACAAAAUAAGAAUAAGUAUUUAUAAUUAAGAAUAGUUAAGAAUAGUAACUUAUUAGUUUCAUGAAGACCCUUUCAGCUUUAAUAAGGGAUAUUAGGGAAAGUUUAAAUAAACUUUGGUUUCUAAUGCUGGAAAUCAAAAUACAAUUUAGUCUUCAAGAAGCCAAAAAUCAAGGCAGGACAUCAUUAGCUUAAGCAAAAUGAUUAGCUUUGACAAGUGACUAUAAAUACUAAAAACCUAAUUUGUUAAUUUACAAUUUAUCACUAAUGAUAGAAAAGAUCAGACAGUGCACUUGAGCAGGUAACAGAAACUUGUGAGUAAUUUGGCAGUUUAAAAAAAAACUAUGACAUUCGCAUGCAGAUAUUGAGUCUAUCUGCCAAUACAGACUUAGCAAUAUUUCAUUUUUCAUAAUACAAUUUGGAAGGCACAUGGUAAACUCAAGGUAUGGUUACCUUCAAUUUUUCCAGUUACAUAAUAAAGAAAUUUUCAACAUUCAUUUUUGUAAGAUUUUGAAUUCCAAAAUUUUCCCCUUUUCCCUUAGCUCCCCAAGACAGCAAUCUGAUAUAGUUAUUUUCAAUUUUAAACCAAUUCCCCAGGGUAAACAGAAUUCAAAUAACCUUUAAAAAAAAUUUAAUUGAUAAAUUAAUAAUAAUAAAAAUAAGUUAGUUAGGAAAAUAUUUUACUAGGCAAGAGCUUUGCUAAAAACAUCAGAAAUACCUAAUUAAAUCAGCCUUUUUUAUCUCUGCCAAGAUAAACAAGUGCUUGCUGACUUCCAAUACAAAUGACUAAUUAAAUCAAUUAUUAUUUCCCACUAUUAACUUAAAGUUCUUUAAAGAACUACACUGGGGAAGCUAAACAACCAAGAUUUUAACUUCAAAGGAGUUUAUUACUAAACUAUAAAAUCUCUACAGAGGAAUGAACCAUAAGAUCAUAAUUAGAAUGAGAAAAAAUGAUGAAGACCUACUAGUUAAAACCACAUCUUUAUUUAAACAUCUUGACACAUCCUAUCUCAAUUUGUAACUCUCCUAGGCACAUAGUACAUAUGUAUUAUUUGUUGGGAAUAGUUUAGUGGAAUCAAAAUCUAAUUGGUAGUAUUCGCUCUUGUGCUGAACAUAAGUUUUUCAAAACCUUAGAGUGCAGAAAAUUACAUGGCUGAAUGUAUACAUAGGUGCCUUGAAUUAAACCAUUUCUUCUAUAUUUCCCCCUUGUGUUUAAAAAUUAAAUUUUCACAGGGGUGACAUUUAACAAAUGCAGAAAAAGCACUGACUUUUGGAAAGUCAAAGGAUCUGGUUGAAUUCAAUUCUGGCUGUCAUUAGCUAUAUGAUCCUAAGUCACAAUCUUGGCAAGGCUCAACACGAUCUGAAAAAUGAGUACAUUGACAUUAUGUAUUUCAUAGCUUUGUGCAUAUGAAAACCAUAAAAGGGUUGUGCAUUUCUUAUCAUAAUCUACAGACACACACACACAUCUUCGUCUCUCCAGCACAAUUCCUAAAAAGUAUACUAGAAAAUUAUAUAACGUAUAGAAGAUCUAGGCUUGUUACUAUAAAAGCACUGCUAACAAAAAACAGAAACAAAACCCACCCAAAUCCCAUAGCUCUAGAUAAAUCUCAAGUAUGCAAAAGAAUAUGAGAAAAAGGCCACAAUGGCAAGCCCAUUCCAUUCAUUGCUUAGUAAGCUGUUGUCAACCAUGUAUUAACAUUUUCACAGCUAAAGCUUGUAUGAGGCUCUCCUCAAUUUUAAUUUUCUCCAAGACUCUUAGGAUCUUGAUUCAUUUUUAGGGGUUCUGCCUUUAUUCUAAAUAAAAGAUAUUUACUACAUUAUUAAACAUACUUUUCUGUCAAAACCUACAUUAAAAAAAAUAUUAAUAAUCUUACUUGCUUAUGAUGACUUAAUAACUGGAAAUCCCGUUUGCAACAUCAUAAUAGGCUGCUGUGGAAAUAACAGAAGAUUAAGACAAAGCAAAACAAAACAAAGCUAUGUUAAAGACUUUAAGGAAUAAGACUUAACCAUGCUUUACUUUAGGAGCUGCCUUAUUUUAAAAAAUAUUUAUUCAUCUAAAAUUUAAAAGCAUUAACAUUCUAUAUUAUAAGUUAAUCAGAAAACUACAUAAUAAAGGAGAACCUCAUUCUACUCCCAUCAUUUUUACUUAUCUAGGAAACUAAGUAACAAAUAAACUUGUCAUUUUUAAAAUGACUACAGCUGACAUUCUUUGGAAAAGAAUUAUUAUAAAUUAAAUUGCUGGUGGAGCAGAGAACUUAGUUAUACAACUUCUUCUAAAUCUAAUUUGAAAUCAGGGUACAGAAUCAAAAAGGUCUUAUGCAAGCUAGAAGACCAUAAGUUUUUUUUAUAAAGUCAAAACAAACAAACAAAAAACAUAUAGAUUUCUCUCUCAACUUUUGUAAAAUAUCCAUACCUUGGUACUUGGUAAACUUUUUUGCUUUGAUCAUUUGUAUUCCAAUUUCAAAAUUCUAAUCGACAUUCUGCUAAUCAUAUCCUUCAUGCCAAAAUAUGCCAUUAGAAGAGGAAUGGAAAUUGAAGAAUUCAUUUCAUUCUAUCAUUUCCUAAUAUGAAACUGGAUGCAAAGGGUUCAGAAAACACUGAGUGGCAGGGAAGAAUGCUGAAUUUAAGAGUAAAAAAAAAAUUAGUUCAAAUUUUGGCCUAACCACUAAGUGAUCCCGGGCAUAUCAACUGAUUUCUUUGGGCCCCAGUAUCCUCAUCUGUUAAAAUGUAGGAGUUGGCUAGAUGGUCUCCUUUUAGCUGAAAAUCUAUGAACCUAGAAUUUAAAUAGUAAAUGGAUAUUGAUACCGAUAAUACAGUAUAAUAGAAAGGAUCAGAGAGAUACGGUUAUUCCUAAUACUACAAAUUAGCUUUGUCAAUUUUUAAGUAAUAUUUUUGAUCUCAUUCUUCCAGAAGAUACAGUGGACUAGAUCAUCUUUAUAAACUGCCUAUUAGCAUCACCUUUGAACCAUUCUAUGUUUGGGGUGGAGAACAAAAUAAAGCACAUAAAACAAAAUUAACCAGAAUUCUACCAUUCUACUCCCAUGUGAAACAAUUCAUCUUUAGAAAAACAAAAUUUAUUUAGAUUUUUAAAAAAUAAACUUUCAAGAUGUCCUGAAUUCCACAGAUAUUCAUUCAGACUGCCUGAAAAUCAGGAUAAAAGAAUAUUUAGAAUGACCAACAGGCUAAAGACAAAUGAUUAAUACAUUAGUAAAGUUUCUAAUAAUGUGAAAAUUAAAGGAGUUAAGGAAAUAUCACUCCCUGAGCAUUCACAUUUUAUUGUACUUAAAUUAUAGUGAAUAUAUAUAAAAUGAAUGUCAUAUUACUCAUUUUUAUUUAUCAUUCUUUUCAUAAAAUUAUAAAACCUUCAAAGGGUUCCUCAAUUAUAGAAAGUGUGUAACUUUAAAUAGGCAAUCUAGUCAGUUCUAAAAAACUUUCUGCACCUGUUAUUUCUAGUAUUAAGAAGUGUAACUAAUUCACAACAAGUCUACAAAUAUUUACAAAAUGUUUCAAAAACAUUCAAAAAAUGUAUGCAGAAAGCAGGAAAUAUUUUGAUUAAUUCAACAAAGUAUAGGUUACAUGAUUUUAAAGAUUUAAAGCUUUAAAAAAUACCUGUUAUAUAUUUCUACCAUGUUUAACAUGUAUUGGACUACUUGCCAUCUAAGGGAGAGGGUGAGGAAAUUGGAACACAAGGUUUUUCAAGGGCUAACGUUGAAGAAUUAUCCACAUGUUUUGGAAAAUAAAAAACUUUAUUAAUAAAGAAAAGAAAUAGAAACACUUUCAUAUAGGUAACUAAAACAAAAAUACCAAUUACUUCCACCCACCUCUAUGUGGACUUAUUUGUUAAUUCUCCAGUGGUACAAAGGUGUAUUCAAAUAUUUAAACCACAAAAUUAUUGAUCUAAGUCUUAGAUUCCUUGUACUCCCUUACCUGUAAAACAGGUAUGAUAUAAACCUACCUCCCAGGAAGUUAAGUCUUAAAAUUAUAUACACACACUGGUGUGUGUAUAUUUUCUUAAGAAUUCUUAGAAAAAAGUUAAAGAGCAAUGAAAAGUAGUUUUUAAUCUUUCAAACAAUAAAUUUGUUUAUUCCUCUAUCAUAUCAGAAAACAUUCCAUCAUGUUUUAAUUCAAAAAUAUUGCACUUUGAUCAUCAGGUUUCCUAUUAUGGUUAAAAUGAAAUUGUUAACAAGAAUUAAAUGUUUAAAAUGGAGCUUUCUUAAAAAUAAACAGAAAUUUGCUCAGUUUUACUUACUCAUAAAUCAGAAGUAUUCUAAAGAAAAUAAACUUAUUUAAAUCUAUGUACUGGAUAUUAAAGAUUUCUAUGACACUGUCAAAUAUUAACUAGAUGAUUAAUCUGAUUAUAAUACUCUAUAAAUAUUCUUGUUAGGCAAGCUUUUCCAUAUAGUCAAGUGCUAUUUCUUUUCUGAAAUUCACAAUACCAUAUAAUGGCAUGUUUAAGCAAUAGAUUACUGACCUGCCCUAUAAUUCCAAAAUAAACCCAAAACCCCCAAAAGUUUUUAACUUUCUCCACAAACUUUAUAUAAGUGAAAAUGAGCAAAAUUUUAGGUUAGUCUUCAACUCAUAACAUGUAAGCAUAUUAUACUAAAACUAUUCUUCUAAAUCCUCAAAGACACUAUCUUUGAAAACUAUGAAGAGUACACAUGAAUUGACUUAAAUUGAUUAUAUCCCGGAUUUCAAAUUUGGAAUAGUGUUAAGGAUAUAUUCUAUAACUCUUUGUAACAAUUAAUAUGUUUGAAAAAGCUAGGAUAGUGCACAUUUCAACUCUUCUGAACUAAAUCUAAUGAUUCAAAAAGAGGAUCAUUAUGACUAUGAAUUAUCACAGGAUUUAGAUCCAGAAGAAACUAGAGACAAUCCAGAGCCAUAUAGAAGUCAGAAUUUCAAGUCAAAACACUUGACUAUAUCUAGUACCUUUUCAAUUUUAUUUUAGUGCCUAUAGAAAAACUUUGGUUGUCUCACCUUUUACAGUUUAGUUUCCAGAAAAACAACUUAAAUGCAUUUAGCUUCAUUUCUAGUAAUCACAAUUAAUUUUCUAGAUGCGUCUAGAUUUAUUGGGAAGUUGAGGCAGUAUUUUAUGUGAAUCUUUACUAGCUAGUAUAUUUAAUGAAAACCUCCAAGAAAAUAUAUAACCAAAAUUUUAGUUAACUAUAUUAACAUAAAAGCUGUAAAAUUAUUUCAACUAGAGAUGAAAAUACAUGCUAAAAUAUUAAAUAAAAAUAAAUUUAAAAAUAAAAAAAUACUAAAAUAGCUGUCAACUGGAGUCAUCAUUACCAUUACUCACUUUAACACCAUUUAAAGUUCUUAAAAUAUUCCUAAAAUCUGUUAAAACUAUAUAAUUAUCAUCUUGAUAUAUAUUUUCUCAGAACACAUCCCAGAUCUCAGAAUUCCCAACAGCCUUUUUUUUUUGUUGUUUUGAAAGAGGAAGGAAAUCUUUAAUCCUUAAAAUAUGGAGAAAGAAUGAAAAUGUUUUGCGAAGACUAACUUCACAAAAAGCUGAUAACCAUAGCAUAUCAUCACAUAAUUCGAGAAUCUGAAAACACUUUGGGAUAGCAUCUCGUUCAACUCCUUAAUUUUUUAGGAGUAAACAGUGAAAACAGAAAUUUAAAUUUAAACAGUAACUUUACUUUUUGAAAAACAGUUAACUAAUUUGAAUUUUCUGUUGUGGCAAAAUAAUUUGCAUCAUGUAGAAUAUAUUUGUGAAAUAAAGUACAUCAUACUCUAUUUUAUUAGUCAUUUUAAUAACCUUGGGAAGCAAAGGAAGAGUUAUUCACAAGAUAAGAAUUCCAGGCAAGGAGAUUAUAAAGUUACUUAUAAAGUUACAAAGUCAGAACAAAGGAAAAAAAAAAAAAAAUCCCUCCCCCCCCAACAAAAAACCUAGCAUAUUUAUGAACAAGAGUUUAGAAUAGCUUAAUUCUAAAGUUAUGUAAAGUAACUUUAUAGCUCAUUCAGGAAUACAAUAUUUUACAAAGCCAUUUGUACUAGAAUAAAAUGGCUAAUUCCAGAGUAGAACAAAAAACAAAAUAAAACUUUUAGCACUCAAAAUAAAAAAUCACUCCUACAAACAUUAAAUGUAUAACCCCUCCUCCCUCAGGUCUUAAGAUGAAAUGACUAGCCCAGGAUGAAUCAGUGGAAACCAAGACUGGAACCUUGACUUCAAAAACAAGAUUACUAUUCUUUCUAUUAUAUACAUGUUGGUAAUUAAUUUAAAAAAUUAACUUUGACAAACACCAAAGUAUGUUCACAGACUGAAACACAAUGCUUUUUCAUACUGGAAAAGACCAGGGCUAUAAACUGGAAAUAGAAAGAAAAUAAUUUUCAAAACUACCCUCCUGAAUCCACAAAAUGGAACUACCUAGAGAAUAAGGAAUAAACAAGAUAAGAUAAUAAAUAUGUGAAUAUAGGCAGACUUCUCACUAAACAGUCAGGGCCAAGAAAUCUCAGUGGCAACUAUAUAAAUACUAUUAAAAAAACAAACAAACAAACAAACCACUUUGGGGUAUGUGAGUACCGGUCUAGCAAUUGGGAAACUGGUUCUACUUUCAGUUCUAUCACUAACUAGUUCCAUAUGGUGGUGGUCAAUCACUUUAGCUCCCCCCUUCCACACUCUUCAUGACUUCAUUUGAGGUUUUCUUGGAAGAAAUAAUGGAGUGGUUUGCCAUUUCCUUCUCCAGCUGAUUUUAAAGAUAAGGAAACUGAGGCAAACAGGAUUAAAUGACUCAUCCAGGGUCACAGCUAAAAAGCUUAAGAGGCCAGAUUUAAUUCAGUAAGAUUCAUAAGUCUUUCUGCCUCUCUAUCCACUUUGCCAUCUGACUGCCCAUGGGUAAAAUCAUAGAUCAUUCCAUUUCAUUUUUCCAGGCCUCAAUUUCUUCUUCUAUUCAAUGAGCUAGACUACAUUAAGCCCCUAGAUAUCUAUUCUCCACACUCUAAAAUUACACAAAAAAUUUAAGACAUUCUAAAGAGUUUCAUCAAUUUCUCAAUUCUGUGGGCAAUAAAUGCUAAAUUUUCUAAUUUUCAGACAACUUGUUUUAAAACAAAGAAAAGCAUUUCCCUAAGUUGGUUCAAUGGAAUAUAAGAAAAAAAAAAAAACAGGAAAAAAAAAACCCUGCAAAUUUCCUUUUCCGUUUCUUUAAUAGAGUUAAUGUGUUCCUCCUUAUGAUGCAGAACUUAUUCCUUCUAAUUUUUGACUUUUAUCAAUUACAACCAACUGUAGAUGAUGCCAAACUAUUUUCAUAAAAAUUUACACCAAAGCAAAUGGUUAACAAUACUGGGCAGUUUCAUUCCAUAUGAAAAUAUCAGCACAAAUCUAAAGGAAUUUUUCGAAUGAUUUUUCCAACUUCAACUUUUAGUGAUUUUAAAUGGCCACAAAAUUAAUCUUGAAAUUCCCUUUACUCUCAAGCAAAAACUUUCCAUACAUACCAACCCCCUUUCUCACAGACCAACCUGUGGCAUGUAAAUUUUACUAUAAACACAUUGAGAGAGCAAUCGAUUUUUAAAGAUCCCCAAAACAUAGUUGGAAAAUUGCUUGUUAAAUGCUUAAGAUGAAAAAGUCUUUCAAAUCUGUUUCGGAACUGCAAGGUUGCCAAUUAGUAAAUGCAGAAACAAAGAAAAGUAUCGGUCUUCUCACGCCACAAGUUUUGAGUGUUUGUGCAUUUAAGGUAGCGCAUUAAAUAACAUUAAUAAAAGUUGUAAGGGGGAAAAAAAACCUUUUAUCGCUAAAUAUUCCACCAACAAUUAAGCACUUAUGUACAAAUGGAAUUGACAAUUCUAUACCUGCCCCAUUUACUCAUCCAUAAGGUUUUUCUUAAAUAUUAGUCCACAAACUUCAGAUUGUUUAAAAAAAAAAUUAUUUCCCACCUCAAUCAAAGUUCGCCGCCUUUAAAGCAGUAGGCAGGUGGUCAAAGGGAAAACAAGAUUAGGCAAAAAAAUUUCUGGCCAAGGACAUAGAGGUUAAUACAUUGUUCAUACUAGAGCAUCCCACAGCAAGUUUAUUAGCUAACUAUAUAGGAGAGCCUCGAUUUCAAGAGCCCACAGAAAUGACCCCAAAUGACCCCCAAAUAAAAUUAAUUUAUCUAGCUUUAAAAAGCUGAAGAGGCAAACCUCUAGGGCUGGUACUUAAAGCUGUUUCCGGUGACUCAACGAAGCAAACCUGCUGCUCAAACCCGCGAGCCCCAUCCCACGAACUCAAUUUCCUCCUUCCUUCCCUCCUCCCCCUCCCUCCUCCCCAAGGACGGCUGCGGCGGCAGACCUUCAGCUUCAGCGGCAGCAGCUGCUGCUCCGGGGAUUGGAGGAUGCAAAUAGCCCGAUAGAUAAAGGGAGGUCAGAAGGAAUGCAGCAGCCCCUCCGAACCCUCCCCCAUCCUCCCCACCUCCGGCCCACCCCUUCCCUUCAAGUUUUCCCUCCUCUCCUCUACUCCCCUCCCCUCGCACUCCCUACCUUCCCUCCUUCAUCCCAACCCCUAAGGCCAAGGUCUCCCCGGCCCACAAACCUGAUAGCGGAAGUGACGGAGAGCUCGCAGCCCCCGCGGCCUCUCACGCUGGGGCAGUGGGCGCCGCCAGCCAAUGAGCGCCGGCCGGGGAGGAGGGAUUUUCAGGCGCCUCAAGUUUGAUUGAAGUGCGGGGAGGGGGAGGGGAAAAGGUGUCUCUCCCUCUCUCACUCUCACUCUCUUUCCCCACACUCCCCUCCCCCUCCCCGCCGCCUGCUCCCGGCCGGAGUAACCUCCUUGGGCCUACUUCAGGCCCGGUGCGGGAGGCCGCAUUUGAGCGGUCUUACUCCCCGCUCUCCCCACGCCUCGCAUUGCGGGCACCUGUCACCGCGGGCGCCGCCGCGGGCCCGGGCCCAGCCCGCCCCCGCUCCCACCGAAGCGGCCCGGCAGUCCCAGGCAUGCCAUGGGAGAAGUGGCUCCGCCGCGGCUCCUCACCCAGCCAGGCCCUAGCUCUCCCCGCCUGGCGCGACCGCCGCUCCCCCCUCCUUUAGCCUCACCCCACAGGCCACCACCGCCACCUCUUCCUCCGCCUCGGAGGGCGAGGAAAAUGGCGGCCGCUCCUGCCUCACCCACCUCAGGGCUGAGGGGAGGACCGAGGCCCGGGCCCACCGCCUGCAGUCCCGGCCUCGGGCCCCCAGCGCCGGCCGCUUCCCCGGAGCGCCGUACGGGGUAACCCGCGGCGGCGAGGACCCGGAUGGAGUCGCGGGGGCGAGCGCCGCCGCGGCAGCCCGAGGUAAAGGCAUCGCGGGAAGGAAGGAAGGGAAGGAGGGAAGGAAGGUAGGGCCCCUUGGCGGAGCUGGCAGCUCCCCGGCCGCUCAUUGGAAGAAAAGAAAGGAAUGACAGCCCCUCCGAUCCAUUCCUUCCCGCCGCGCCUACUUUCUCCCGCUCCCACUGGACUAAAGCAAAAGGAGCCCGCCCACCUCGAGGCUGAGAUUCCCGACUCCCUUUGGUGAAGGGAGAACGCUGAGCCCGCCUUCCCCGGAUCCCAUCCUCCUUUCCCAUUUGUGUAAACCGAGGAGUGACAGGCCUCGUGGCCACCCUCUCUGCCGUGUCCCCAGCUCCGCUCCCGCCCGCUGCAGAUUGACAAGCCCGCCGUCACGUGGCCGCGGGGAAGCCGUUAGGCCCUCUGUGAUGCAGGGGCUGAGGAUCGGGAGGAGGCCCACGCCGAGGGGGCUUCCCUCGGCCAGUUCCUAGAGCCCAAGACUG
rnacentral:lncRNA from 1 species